AUGGCUGUCGUCAGCUCGUGUCGUGAGAUGUUGGGUUAAGUCCCGCAACGAGCGCAACCCCCGUCCUUAGUUGCUACCAUUUAGUUGAGCACUCUAAGGAGACUGCCGGUGAUAAGCCGCGAGGAAGGUGGGGAUGACGUCAAGUCCUCAUGCCCCUUAUGUCCAGGGCUACACACGUGCUACAUUGGCGCAUACAGAGGGCUGCGAUACCGCGAGGUGGAGCGAAUCCCUUAAAGUGCGUCUCGGUUCGGAUUGCAGGCUGAAAUUCGCCUGCAUGAAGGCGGAGUUGCUAGUAAUCGCGGAUCAGCAUUGCCGCGGUGAAUACGUUCCCGGGCCUUGUACACACCGCCCGUCACACCACGGGAGUGAGCAACACCCGAAGCCGGUGGCCUAACCCGCAAGGGAGGGAGCCGUCGAAGGUGGGGCUCGUGACUGGGGUGAAGUCGUAACAAGGUAGCCGUAGCGGAAGCUGCGGCUGGAUCACCUCCUUUCUAGGGAGCAUCUAGCUGAUGCCCCGAUCCUGGGUCCAUCGAGAGAUAGACCCUCGCGGUCGCCGAGCCCUUGAGGCUUGACGAUGUCUAAGCGGAUCGGGCCUAGCAUGUCGACCGAACCUGGCUGGAUGGCCGCGCAUCGCGCGUGCCCCCUUCUACUUGGGGAGCACAACCGGCCUCGGCCGCAACGAUCCCAGCAUGCUGUUGAGUUUUGAGAGACCGGCGUCGGCCGGCCCUCGCGAGGACACGUCGCUUAACGGCGUGACCAAGCAACGCGGAGACCUACCGACGUUAUACGCCUCUCCCCGGUCCUUGAAAACUGCACAGAAGCCACAUUCAGCCGCCAUCGAUAAGCGGCGGCUGAAACGGGUAUCACCGGGCCCUCCAUGAUCGCCCGUGCCCUGCAAGGGGUAUGGGUCAUGUUGGGCCAGAUCACCGUCAAGAUAGUAAGGGCACACGGUGGAUGCCUUGGCACCAAGAGUCGAUGAAGGGCGUGAACGGCUGCGAUAAGCCACGGUUAGGCGUUUAAUAGCCUUUGACCCGUGGAUUCCCGAAUGGGGAAACCCGG
rnacentral:sRNA from 1 species